CGUGCCAGGGUUCCAAUUCCUCCAGAUCCUCGCCAACGCAAGCUGUCCUGUGGUGUUUGGUUUUGGGAUCUUUGGGCUACUGUUGUUGCUAGCGGCCCUCCUCACAGAGAGAGAGUGCAAGUGGGGCAGGACAGGGCAGAAGGAGAGAGAAUGUGAAGAAGCCUCCAUACCCAGAAGCAACAAGCUGAGUGUCAUUGUCAGAAAGCAGGCAGCUGACAGUCCAUUGCCAAUGUGACCCUUUUGUCCAGAUGAUUCUUCUAGACUCUCUGGUUCUUCCAGCUCCCCCAGGAAAGGAAGCGAGGACAAAACAUGGCGCAGAGUCCCUUCAUUCUACAUGGGCCCGUAAAGUACAGACAUGGAGUCAUCUCCAUAGAACACAGGGAAGGAGAAAGGACGCAGGUGGUGAAUAGUGACCUGACCAGUGACGCUCUGACUCUUCAGCUGCAACAUCUGGGCCUGUGCUGGCCGCGAGCACGGCUGCCAGCAAACAGCCCCUCAGGCUGAGGGAUACGGUGGUGCUGCUCUAGGCGGGACCUUGCUCCAGUCCGUGCGCUGUCAGCUGUCCCACUGCCCACCCACAUCCACCCCCACUGAGUCUGAGGACCUUCAGGCCCUGUUGGACACCGUGAGGAUCGUGCCCGCUGAAUGGACUGCUCCCACCUCUUGUCCGUGGCCUCUUGCAUGAACUGGGACCAGGCCAAACCGGUCCCAGGGUCCCCUCUCGGCACCUUAACUGCACACAAUUCCAGCGUUCACUUCCGGUCCUCACACAGGCUCAGCCUGCACACAUCUCCUGUUAAAGGUCUUUCCCGCCACGUGGUUGCUGCAGCAAGAAUCACGAGUCACUGUUGAAUCUUUGGUCCCUCCUGCCCCACGUGGAAUCUGUCAUCCAAGCCUCGCCAGGUCCCCCACCUGCCCCAACAUUUUCCCCAUUUCUCUCCUACUCUCUUCUCCACCACGACCAUGAGUCCGAAAUGCCAUUUCCGACGUGGACCUGGCAGAGUCUCACCAGUCUUGCAGGGUGUUAGGUUCCUGCUGUUGCUCUAACAAAUGAGCACAACCAUAGUGGCUUCACACAACACAAUCUGUGAAUCCUGACGUUUUGUAGAUCAGCAGCCUGCCCCAGAAAGAGCUGGAGGGAUUGCCCAAGAUCAUCGCCCUAUUUAAAGGCCAGCCUGUUAACAACCUUAAUUCCCCGUUGCCUUGUCCAGUCACAUAUUCACAGGCUCUGGGGAGCAAGGUGUGCACACCCUUGGGGGUCACUCGUCUGCUCACCACACUUGGCUUCCACUGUCUCCUCUCUUUGGCCUUCUCUGCCAGGCAAGCAGAGCGAAACCACUAGAAUAACAUCAUGUAAAUAGGGGCUAGAAGAAAGUGCAUAACAGGGGCUAUGGAAACUUCUGGAAAACAAAUCAGACCACGAAUAAAUAGUCCCUUUAGAUAUUUCUAACUGCAUUUCGAAUAAGACGCAGAGUCUCUCAUGUGGCCCCCAAAGCCCUGCCUGCUGGGCCCCCAGGCUUCAGGCACCCUGGCUGUUCCAGAUUUAAGGGGAAAUGGGUGUGAGUAGAGGGGGUGGAUCUCCCCAUGCUUUCAUUCCUGGAGGUAGAUUCCCCUUCUUGUAAAUGUGUGGUGGGGUCAUGAAGAUUCAUGAAGACUCAAACCUCUGGAUCAUUUUCUCCCUACAGACUCCCUCCAUGUAGCUCUUUAAUGCUGUGCCUGCCCAACUGGGAUCAUCUGCCCAGAGAGUUCCAACAGAUCUAUGGACUCGGUUUCAACUUCUGUGUAACACGCCUGUGAGCUAUUGAUCCAGCUGUGCCAAAAGGGUGGCAGUCUGUGACACACACUUGUCUGAAGUCCCCAUUGUGGGAGGACGGAGGAUCAUAGCUGCAACUAUGAUCCUUUUCUGCUAUAUUAUGAGGGGAGCUUAGAGCUGCAAGUGGUAUUUUUGUUUCUAGGAUUCCAGACACAUCUACAUAACUGAUUACAUAAUUACUUGAGAACUUUGGUUUCAUUAUUUAAAUCGUCAUAGAAUCGACCCACAAGGUUAUAUUAGUUUCCAGUACAACAUAACUGUUUGGUGUUUGUACAUAUUGUGAAGUGAUCACCACAGCAAGCCGAGUUAACUGUUCCCACACAUAUCACAAAAUUAAUUUUUCCUGUGAUGAGAACCAUUAAGAUCUACUCUCUCAGCAACUUUCAAAUAUGCAAUACAGUGUUGUUAACUAUAGUCCCCUUGCUGUGCAUUCUAUCCCCAGGACUUAUCUAUAUUAUAAUUGGAUGUUUACACCUUUUGAACACUUUCUCCCUUUGUUAGGAUUCCCUACCCAUUCUGCUUCUGGCAACCACCAGUCUAUUCUCUGCAUCUAUGAACUUGGUUUUUUAAAUUUUGUUUUUGUGACCCAUGUAUAAGUGAGCGCAUAUGGUAUCUGUCUUUCUCUGACUUACUUCAUUUAUCAUAUUGCUCUGAAGGUCUAUCCAUGGUGUCACAAAUGGCAAGAUUUCCUUCUUUAAAAAAAAAAAAGAUUUUAUUUAUUUUAGAGAAAGCAUGUGAGUAAGGGGAGGGGCACAGGUUGAGA